CCUACGGUGGGCAGCAGUGAGGAAUAUUGGUCAAUGGGCUUACGCCUGAACCAGCCAAGUCGCGUGAGGGAAGACUGCCCUAUGGGUUGUAAACCUCUUUUGUCAGGGAGCAAUUGGCGCUACGUGUAGCGUUAUCGAGAGUACCUGAAGAAAAAGCAUCGGCUAACUCCGUGCCAGCAGCCGCGGUAAUACGGAGGAUGCGAGCGUUAUCCGGAUUUAUUGGGUUUAAAGGGUGCGUAGGCGGAAUGCCAAGUCAGCGGUAAAGUCGCGGGGCUCAACCUCGCUCCGACGUUGAAACUGGCGUUCUUGAGUGGGCGAGAAGUAUGCGGAAUGCGUGGUGUAGCGGUGAAAUGCAUAGAUAUCGCGCAGAACCCCGAUUGCGAAGGCAGCGUACCGGCUCCACACUGACGCUGAGGCACGAAAGCGUGGGUAUCGAACAGGAUUAGAUACCCGAGUAGUC
rnacentral:rRNA from 1 species